rnacentral:rRNA from 1 species
CAUGUAGGCGGUUUCGUAAGCCUGGUGUGAAAUCCUGCAGCUUAACUGUAGAAUUGCAUUGGGUACUGCGAGACUUGAAUCACGGAGGGGAAACUAGAAUCCCAGGUGUAGGGGUGGAAUCUGUAGAUAUCUGGAAGAAUACCGGUGGCGAAGGCGGGUUUCUAGCCGAUGAUUGACGCUGAGGUGCGAAAGUGCGGGGAGCAAACA